GUCGAACGCUGGCGGCGUGCCUAAUACAUGCAAGUCGAGCGGACAGAAGGGAGCUUGCUCCCGGAAGUUAGCGGCGGACGGGUGAGUAACACGUGGGCAACCUACCCUGUAGAUCGGGAUAACAUCGAGAAAUCGGUGCUAAUACCGGAUAAUCAUUUGAAGUGCAUGCUUCGAAUGUAAAAGAUGGCUCCGGCUAUCACUACGGGAUGGGCCCGCGGCGCAUUAGCUAGUUGGUAAGGUAAUGGCUUACCAAGGCAACGAUGCGUAGCCGACCUGAGAGGGUGAUCGGCCACACUGGGACUGAGACACGGCCCAGACUCCUAUGGGAGGCAGCAGUAGGGAAUCUUCCGCAAUGGACGAAAGUCUGACGGAGCAACGCCGCGUGAGUGAUGAAGGUUUUCGGAUCGUAAAGCUCUGUUGUUAGGGAAGAACAAGUGCCGUUUGAAUAAGGCGGCACCUUGACGGUACCUACCAGAAAGCCACGGCUAACUACGUGCCAGCAGCCGCAGUAAUAC
rnacentral:rRNA from 1 species